GCCCGGCUAGCGCAAUGGUAGCGCGUAAGACUUCUAUCUCGAUCAAAAACACCAUGUGUUAGAGUGGCAUCUUAAGGUUGCGGGUUCGACCCCCGCGUCGGGUU